UAGGGAAUCUUCCACAAUGGACGCAAGUCUGAUGGAGCAACGCCGCGUGAGUGAAGAAGGUUUUCGGACCGUAAAGCUCUGUUGUUGGUGAAGAAGGAUAGAGGUAGUAACUGGCCUUUAUUUGACGGUAAUCAACCAGAAAGUCACGGCUAACUACGUGCCAGCAGCCGCGGUAAUCGUAGGUGGCAAGCGUUGUCCGGAUUUAUUGGGCGUAAAGCGAGCGCAGGCGGAAGAAUAAGUCUGAUGUGAAAGCCCUCGGCUUAACCGAGGAAUUGCAUCGGAAACUGCUUUUCUUGAGUGCAGAAGAGGAGAGUAGAACUCCAUGUGUAGCGGUGGAAUGCGUAGAUAUAUGGAAGAAUACCAGUGGCGAAGGCGGCUCUCUGGUCUGCAACUGACGCUGAGGCUCGAAAGCAUGGGUAGUGAACAGGAUUAGAUACCCUGGUAGUCCAUGCCGUAAACGAUGAGUGCUAAGUGUUGGGAGGCUUCCGCCUCUCAGUGCUGCAGCUAACGCAUUAAGCACUCCGCCUGGGGGAGUA
rnacentral:rRNA from 1 species